GGGCCCGCACAAGCGGUGGAGCAUGUGGUUUAAUUCGAUGCAACGCGAAGAACCUUACCUGGUCUUGACAUCCUGUGCUAUGCUUAGAGAUAGGCAGUUCUUUUCGGAGACGCAGUGACAGGUGCUGCAUGGCUGUCGUCAGCUCGUGUCGUGAGAUGUUGGGUUAAGUCCCGCAACGAGCGCAACCCUUGUUCUUAGUUGCUAACGGUUCGGCCGAGGACUCUAGGAAGACUGCCAGUGUUAAGCUGGAGGAAGGUGGGGAUGACGUCAAGUCCUCAUGGCCCUUAUGACCAGGGCUACACACGUACUACAAUGCUACGGACAAAGGGCAGCAAACUCGCGAGAGCUAGCAAAUCCCAUAAACCGUGGCUCAGUUCAGAUCGUAGGCUGCAACUCGCCUACGUGAAGGAGGAAUCGCUAG
rnacentral:rRNA from 1 species